rnacentral:rRNA from 1 species
UGGUUAAAAAGCUCGUAGUUGGAUCUCGGCGGACUGAGGGCGGUUUGCUUGCUAGUAUUACUGCCCUAUAGUCCGUAGUUUUGCCAGAGGUUUCGGGGUGCUCUUAACCGAGUGUCCCGGGAUGCUGGCAGGUUUACUUUGAAAAAAUUAGAGUGCUCAAAGCAGGCUAUUACGCCUGAAUAUUCGUGCAUGGAAUAAUAGAAUAGGAAGUCGUUUCUAUUUUGUUGGUUUUCGGAAAUCGACUUAAUGAUUAAUAGGGACAGUCGGGGGCAUUUGUAUUCAAACGACAGAGGUGAAAUUCUUGGACCGUUUGAAGACAAACUACUGCGAAAGCAUUUGCCAAGAAUGUUUUCAUUAAUCAAGAACGAAAGUUAAAGGUUCGAAGGCGAUUAGAUACCGCCCUAGUUUUAGCCAUAAACGAUGCCAGCUAGCGAUCUGCGGACGUUUUUUUUGUAGACUCCGCAGGAAGCUUCCGGGAAACCAAAGCAUUUGGGCUCCAGGGGAAGUAUGGUUGCAAAGCUGAACUUAAAGGAAUUGACGGAAGGGCACCACCAGGAGUGGAGCCUGUGGCUUAAUUUGACUCAACACGGGAAAUCUCACCAGGCCCGGACACUGGAAGGAUUGACAGAUUGAUAGCUCUUUCUUGAUUCGGUGGGUGGUGGUGCAU